CACUGCGCCGCGAGCACGAACACAGGUUGAGCCACCUCCGCCGCUGCAAGUGAACAUGUAGGCGCGGCUGAUUCAGCGGUCAGCGUGCUGACUGCCACCGCCGCCACUACAUGGGCACGCAAGCCUGCAGGCACCGACCACCACCGGCGACACGACCUCGAAGAUACGCAGGCUGGCGCGGGCACCACCGCUCCGAAGGCUGGCUGGCGCGCUAGCAGCCGCCGCAGCCUCGGAGGUAGGUAGGCACGACCGCCACCACCUCAAGUUUGCACGAACCGAAAAUAGGAAGGAAAGGGGAAAAAAAGGUAAAAGGAUGGGAAACCCUAAAAACACCCUAGAUGGUUAAAUGGGCCUCUUUGGACCAAAAAUUGGAUGUCUAAUCCACUGUUAAUUAUUUGUUUUUCCUUCUACCUCUUGAAUUAUAUAAAAUUCAAGAACAACCAUGAAA
rnacentral:lncRNA from 7 species